GCGGUGGUGACGGCGGUGCCGGAGGUUGUCCUUGGCAGGUUUUCCUCGGCGCUUUUCCAUGGAGGAGGCGGUGCGAACGGCUUCAGCCCCGAAUGCUCGCAUCUCCCACUGGACGGCGACGAAGGCGGUGGCCGUGCGAGCGCAGGACUGGGCGGCCUGUGUGGGGGUGUGAGCCGCGGUGCCCCAGGCUGCGCCGGCGAGGGGAAGCCGCGCGGCCGGCCGGCCGACUAGGGCUGGAGCUACUCGGCCAGGGUUUAAGACUUUAAAUGAGAAUAAAGGGUGGUAUUUACGAGGAAAUGAGAGUGAAUAAGUCAUCUCUAACCUCUCCCAGCCUUUUUUUCAUAAGAGAGACCAUAUUAAACUUACAUGUUUGAAGACUGCUUCAUUCUGCCUCUAGUACCAGCGGUUUCUCUGUUCUGUGAUCAAUGUGAUUCACAGGAACUCCUUAAGUAACAAACGAAAUGAGCCAGGGGCGUGGAAAAUAUGACUUCUAUAUUGGUCUGGGAUUGGCUAUGAGCUCCAGCAUUUUCAUUGGAGGAAGUUUCAUUUUGAAAAAAAAAGGCCUCCUUCGACUUGCCAGGAAAGGCUCUAUGAGAGCAGGUCAAGGUGGCCAUGCAUAUCUUAAGGAAUGGUUGUGGUGGGCUGGACUGCUGUC
rnacentral:lncRNA from 1 species